GAGGCAGCACCAUAUGGAGUGACCUGUAAUGCCAUAUGUCCCGGAUAUGCCGAUGCCCCAAUUUUCCAUAAUCAGAUAAGAUCAUAUGCACAAGAGCAUAACCUUAGCUAUGAUGAAGCAAUGACUGAAAUAUUCAAAACAGCUCAUCCGACCCAGAAACCAGUAACCAUAGAGCAGAUUGCAGAACUAGCUGUAUUUUUGUGUUCUUCUGGUGCUGACAGUAUAACUGGUGCUUCACUUUUAAUGGAUGGAGGAAAUACAAUCCGAUAGAACCCCCAAAAAAACAUAACAAAAACAGGAAUUAGACUUGUACAUUAUUUAUGUUUUCAAAAUAUCAAAUAUCCAUCACAAAAGACGAGUUCAUACAACUAUGUGAUUUAUUUGACAAUCAUCAAUACAAUGAUGUUGAAAAACAAUAAUAGCAAUGUCAAAUGUAUUCUUCUAUAUUUUCGAAAUAAGAAUUUUGAAUGAAAUUGAUAUCUUUAACAAACAACAGCCCACCUAACUAAAUUGCAUUGACCUUCAUAGCAUGCAUCUUUUUAAUUACAAACAUACAAAUAUAUAAUGUUUCAAAGAAAAAUAUACAAGAUGGUUUUCAUUUAA